rnacentral:sRNA from 2 species
UGCAUCAGAAGCCUGACGAGGAUGAGAACCUCCGGGGGCAAGAGGUUCGACUCGAGCGCAGCGAGAGAACGUUGCGUCAGCAACGGCCCGCAGGGCGAGCCACGCAGUGGCGAGUCAUCCUCUAUCACCGACCA